AUUAGUAGAUAAGGUGAAUGUUUGGUGAAUUACGUGUAUCAUUCUUUUGGUGUUACAUGUAAGGCUUAAAAUUAAUCCAUGUGGUGUGCUAGUGGAAGUGGAGGGACCUACGUGUCACACUAGCAAUUCAAUAGGUCCAAGAUAGGGCUAGCAACCCCUUUAUACGUAGAAAAAAAUUUCAUUUGAUGGGAAUCUAAUAUGUCAACAGCCUUUACUUUCAGUUUCUUUGGAAAAGCAACGUCUUCAUUGAAGGAGUGAAAAAAAAAAAAGAAACGUUGCUAGAAACUCUUGAGGGCAUUUAAUAAAAAUAAUUGUGUUAGAAGAAGUUACUUACUGUUUUUAAUACAUUUGGCAAACUUUCGGCCAAUUCUCACUCCAACAAGAAUUUCAGAAACGUUAGAGUAAAAUUAACGGUUUUUCUCCACUUAUCCAGAUUGGUGAAGCCCGAGACCUAAGUUAUGAUUAACUUGAGAAGCGACAAGUUACAGAUGCUCACGUUAGGUAACCCGCCAGCUUAGGAGUCCUAUUCAGCUAUCUUGGAGAGCUCCCUUGUUCCGGAGCCUAGUUUUUGGUACAGAAUCUCUUGUGGUGUAUAUGUAUUUUAUCCAGGGGUACGGCGGGGCCCUGUCCCGUCAUAUGAUACUGUUGUUACUCUUAGAGGUCUGUAGACAUAUGUGUGGGUUGUGUAUAAGUUCCGUUCAGCUGUGUCUAUACGAUGUGCUAUGAUAUGAUGUCUAUCUGUAGUGGCAGCCUUGUCGGCUUGCAUAUGACACGAUAUUGAUGUAUAGUGGCAGCCUUGUCGGCUUGCGUAUCAUUUUACGAUUUGAUCAGUUGUGACUCCUCAGGAGACAGUUUAUCUAAAUAUACAUAUAUGAUGACGUUAUGAACCGUUGGAGUUC